UUUUUUUCAACUGACCACAUUGUGAGCUACUCCAGCAGAGAGGUGCUGCAUACGAGAGCCACUGAGAGAAUUUAUUUGACAUUUUUCUAUUAAUAUCCUUCCAAAAAGCGAGUUAAACUUUUAUAGCACUUCCUUAUCAGCGUGGGCUGAGUUGGAGACAGUGUGCGUGAGGCAGAAGGGCAGUUUACUCGUCCUUGAGAAGGGAGUGGAACCGGAGUUCCUUGAGCCUGGAGUUUGUGGAGCUCUUUGAAAGCAUCUUGGCUAGAUUUUUUGACGACCUUGAAUUAAAUUGGAUUUGGAUUCUGGAUUCUCCCUGAAGAGGGGGAUGGCGAGCUAACCCUUGAUUGACGGACCUGGCUGCUUCCUUUUCCCAAGGAGCACAAUCUUCACUUCCUACCUCUCCAGUGUGGUAGGAUUGCGAACUGCUUCUGCAGUGGAUAGGAUAAAAAACUGAACAGUGCACUUUUAUUUUCAUACAAAUUGAGACACUCUUCACUUAUUUUGAAGGGACACUUUAAUUUAUUAUUUUUCUGGCACCAAUCUGAACUGUUGUAUAUUAGAGAGCCGGCUCUAAUAGGCAGUCAUUGUGAAUAUAUUGUAAAUAUUUGUACAUAGUUUUCUCUUUUAAUUAUAAUUUUGAAUUUUAACCCUUUCGUGGCUCCAGUUAUUUAUUGUGUUCGAAAUUCUUCUUGUUACACCAAAAUUUUCCUUCAAGAGACGAACCUAAGCGCACGUGCCCAAUUGGAAAAAUUCCUGUAGACUCUACAGGGGUUACAGUAACAAAUACUAACAAGCUAAUGCAUUAUUUCAUCAACUCGAGGAAGAAGAUGGGCCAGAUUUGUCAUUGUUUUCUUCGGAUAAGUCAGCAAGUACGAAAGGUGAUAGCAAUACGCAAAGGGCAGAAGAAGAAAUGACAAUCCCUGAAAGUGUGGGCUGUGGAACAUUGCCCCAUCUCUUGUUCCAGGAUGAAACUGAGUGGCAUGCCUGAAGAAAAUGAACUAAACUGGUUUAUUGUAAAUAUUCUGUAACUAUUUUGCACUGUUGAUCUAUUGUGUAUAACUCGUUUUGACCAUAGUACAUAGAAAGGACAAAAUCGCCUAUGACUAUA